rnacentral:rRNA from 1 species
GGAUCCAGACUUUGAUUCUGGCUCAGGAUGAACGCUAGCUACAGGCCUAACACAUGCAAGUCGAGGGGAAACGGCAGCUUAGCUUGCUAAGCUGGACGUCGACCGGCGCACGGGUGAGUAACGCGUAUCCAACCUGCCCCACGGUGAGGGAUAACCCGCGGAAACGCGGCCUAAUACCUCAUGGUCUCCGAGUUUGCCAUCAACCUUGGAGUAAAGAUUCAUUGCCGUGGGAUGGGGAUGCGUCUGAUUAGCUUGUUGGCGGGGCAACGGCCCACCAAGGCAACGAUCAGUAGGGGUUCUGAGAGGAAAGCCCCCCACAUUGGAACUGAGACACGGUCCAAACUCCUACGGGAGGCAGCAGUGAGGAAUAUUGGUCAAUGGGCGAGAGCCUGAACCAGCCAAGUAGCGUGCAGGAUGACGGCCCUAUGGGUUGUAAACUGCUUUUAUGCGGGGAUAAAGCGGGCGACGUGUCGCCCUUUGCAGGUACCGCAUGAAUAAGGACCGGCUAAUUCCGUGCCAGCAGCCGCGGUAAUACGGAAGGUCCGGGCGUUAUCCGGAUUUAUUGGGUUUAAAGGGAGCGCAGGCCGGGUAUUAAGCGUGUUGUGAAAUGUAGGCGCCCAACGUCUGCACCGUAGCGCGAACUGGUGCCCUUGAGUACGCACGACGUUGGCGGAAUUCGCCGUGUAGCGGUGAAAUGCUUAGAUAUGGCGAAGAACUCCGAUUGCGAAGGCAGCUGACGGGAGCGCUACUGACGCUCAUGCUCGAAAGCGCGGGUAUCGAACAGGAUUAGAUACCCUGGUAGUCCGCGCGGUAAACGAUGGGUGCCCGCUAUUUGCGCAUUAGCGCAAGUGGCCAAGUGAAAACGUUAAGCAUCCCACCUGGGGAGUACGCCGGCAACGGUGCAACUCAAAGGAAUUGACGG